rnacentral:rRNA from 1 species
UACUCGAGUGGCGAACGGGUGAGUAACACGUGGGUGAUCUGCCCUGCACUUCGGGAUAAGCUUUGGGAAACUGGGUCUAAUACCGGAUAGGACCGCACUUUAGUGUGUGUGGUGGAAAGUUUUUUCGGUGUAGGAUGAGCUCGCGGCCUAUCAGCUUGUUGGUGGGGUAAUGGCCUACCAAGGCGGCGACGGGUAGCCGGCCUGAGAGGGUGUACGGCCACAUUGGGACUGAGAUACGGCCCAG